AAGCUACCCCGGGGAUAACAGGCUUAUCUCCCCCAAGAGUCCACAUCGACGGGGAGGUUUGGCACCUCGAUGUCGGCUCAUCGCAUCCUGGGGCUGUAGUCGGUCCCAAGGGUUGGGCUGUUCGCCCAUUAAAGCGGUACGCGAGCUGGGUUCAGAACGUCGUGAGACAGUUCGGUCCCUAUCCGUCGCGGGCGCAGGAAAUUUGAGAGGAGCUGUCCUUAGUACGAGAGGACCGGGAUGGACACACCGCUGGUGUACCAGUUGUUCCGCCAGGAGCAUCGCUGGGUAGCUAUGUGUGGAAGGGAUAAACGCUGAAAGCAUCUAAGCGUGAAGCCCCCCUCGAGAUGAGAUUUCCCAUCACUUUAUGUGAGUAAGACCCCUGAGAGACGAUCAGGUUGAUAGGUUCGGAGUGGAAGUACAGCAAUGUAUGGAGCGGACGAAUACUAAUAGGUCGAGGACUUAACCUU
rnacentral:ncRNA from 1 species